UACGUAGGGUGCAAGCGUUGUCCGGAAUUAUUGGGCGUAAAGAGCUCGUAGGCGGUUCGGUAAGUCGGGUGUGAAGCCUCCAGGCUCAACCUGGAGAGGCCACCUGAUACUGCUGUGACUCGAGUCCGGUAGGGGAGCGUGGAAUUCCUGGUGUAGCGGUGAAAUGCGCAGAUAUCAGGAGGAACACCGAUGGCGAAGGCAGCUCACUGGGACGGUACUGACGCUGAGACGCGAAAGCGUGGGGAGCAAACAGG
rnacentral:rRNA from 1 species